GAGUAAUCGAGAUAAUCUUCUAUUGUUUCUCCAGAGCUUUAAAUUACCCGUUAAAUUAGUUAUUAUUAUUUUUAUACCGCAGUUUUAUGUACAUGAUGAAUCGAUGAGAACUUGUAUAAAGACUUCACUAAACCAAAUUAAUGUUCAUGUUAGCGGGUACAGCUCAUGAGGACUUGGCCACACUGACAGUAAACCUUCCCACCAUUUCAAAAGUUAAGAUUCCUGUGUGUGUGUUUCCUGAUGGCUGACGCAAGUCUACGAUCAGCAACACCGAGAGAGUUAGAGAGCACAUUGACUAGACUAGAGGUCAUCUGGGAUGACAUUGGUAUGCCAGACGAACAACGGGAGAUUAGAAGAGGACAUUUCUUUGGUCACAUUGCUAAUUUGUGUGAUAAAGUUGUUGAUGGUGAAAGAGCACUGAAGAAUCAACUCACCAACAGUAUUGAGCAAAACACUCGAGAUGUAUUGAAACUGUGUGAAGAGCUGUGUAUGAAGCCUGAAGAGGAUGUGGAGGGCCUCACCUUGCUGGAGUUGGACGCCCUGAUGCAGGAGCGUGUGGAGAAACUACAGCAAAUAAUGAAUGAGAGACUGGAGACUCUGAGACACCUACAGGAGAAGGAUGAGGGUCUGUGUGAGGUGCUGAAUGAGACUCCAUAUUACAUUCCAUCUGGUUUUGUGCCGUCCACAGAUGAUUUGAAGGCGGUGGAAGAGCACGUCAGGUCCAUGGAGAAGGAAAAGGUGGAACGAGAGAAAACAUUCAGAUCACUAAAGGCAGGAUUAUUGAAGUUUUUAGAACAGUUGGAGCAGUCACCUGAAGACACCAUCUCACAGGAAGUUAUCUGCUGUGAUAAUGAAGACAUUCCUCUUAGCAAGGUUGACUUACAGUAUCUUAAGACUGUCCACAGUGACCUUGAGUUCCGUGUUCAGGAGAAUAAGGCAAAAUCAGAGGAGCUGCGAGAAAAGAUUGCCAAUAUUUGGAGUAUGCUUGAAGUCCCUCGUGAAGAGCAGCAAGCAUUCUUGGCCACUGCUCCUAAACAUACACCUUCAAACAUAGCAAAGCUGAACGAAGAACUUGAAAGGCUGCUGCUUCUACGUCAUCAGAAUUUGUCCCUGCUUGUGGAAAAGCUCCAGAAGGAGCUGAGCUUGUGGUGGGACAAGUGUUAUGUUGACAUCAAAGAGAGGGACUCAUUCUUAACAAUGUUUUCAGAUGAAGCUAAUGAAGACAAACUGUCUGCCUAUGAAAGAGAGAUAAAGAAGUGGAAAAAAUAUUACAUGGAAAAUAGUGAAUUACUGGGAAUGGUUGCAACCUUCCUCACUUUAUUUGGCAACAUGCUUGAGCUAGAGGAGAGAGCUAAGGAUCCCAGUCGGCUGUUCAACACAAGAGGAGGAGCUCUGCUACAGGAGGAGAAGGCCAAGAAAAAAGUAAAAGCUGAGCUGCCACGUGUGGAAGAGCGAAUUAUUGCCAGUACUCUGGCCUUAGAGGAACAGGAGGGUCGGCCUUUUAUGAUAUAUGGUAUGGAGAUCACCCAGUAUCUGGAGGAACUCUGGCAGUCCCACAAUGUGAAGAAGGAGGUUGAGAAGACUAAGAGGCAACAAGCAAAGGUUGCAGAUAACAAACGUGGGACAAAUCUUGUUGCAUCACACAUUAGGACCCCUGGACCACUGGCCUCCACUAAGAAGAGAGGGCAUGAAGGGGAUGACCCUGCUAGCAGCAAGAGAUCCAAACACUUAACACCUUCUGUAGGAGGAGUCAUAUUUAAAUCCCCCUCAAAAUCUGCAGUUCAAACACCCUUGACGACCCCACAAGGCAAGCCACUGAUGGAGUAUAAUGGCCAGAGGGUCUUGAACCUUGUCACUUCAACCACAACCGAUGCUUCCCUACACUCCACACUUAGUUAUGACAAGUUUGAAAAUAACCUAAGAAGUAGCAGAGAAUGUCUCAACAGCACUGGAUUUGACUUACCUGGAUCAGAAAUACAGAAAAAUUCAUGUUAAUGUUCCUUGUUGUCCUAACACACAAAAUGUCUUCCUGUCUUCAAAAAAUCUUGAGGCUGGUAUUGGUGAGAGAUGUCAAGAUGAAAUUAUCCACUCCUCUGUUCUGGAAUCAGCCACACCCUCGCCAAGCUACUUCCCUGCAUUUGAUCAGUUACGAGAGAGAAGACUGCGGGAUACCUUGCAUCUUGCCUC
rnacentral:misc_RNA from 1 species